rnacentral:lncRNA from 1 species
AUGGAAAAAAUCAUUCGAGUCAUUGGAGAAGAUGAAAAUAUUCAUUCUCAACCUCUAUAUGGAACAGAUGCAUUGUCUUCUUGGAGAGAAUCAGCUAAUCAAGGUACAUUGGCCCCAAAGUAUCUUGAAGCAAUGGCUAUAAUUGAUCGCACACAGGAGAAGUUAAUAGAGGUCGAAAGCCGAGCCAGACAAGCUGAGGAGAGGUUUGAUGAUGUGAAUGAAAGACUUCAUUAUACCAUUAUAAGAAAUAAAGAACUGGAGAAAGAGUUAGAGGAAGUAUUGAUGAAGUAUAAAAUGAAGGAGCCUGAAGUGGAAGAAGAAGAAAAUGAAGGAGAAAGAGAAGAAGAAAAAGAAGAAGAAGAAGAAGAAAUCAGACCAUCAGACAGAGCCUCAAAAUCUCCAAAGAAAGAGAUACAGCGCAAGGAGGGUUCUAAAUCCAAACUCCGGACUAAAUCCAAGACGAAACCCAAAUAGCAACCACAGGAUGCUGGGCUACACCACACCACAGCCAUCCCAGAUAUCUGUGCACUUUUGAACUGACAGUGUGGCUCAACUGACGGGACUCCCUUUGCAGCAGACAACUCAGGAGCAUCUUCUCUUUAAAAGUCACAGUGAUGGCUCUAGGCAAUCAAUCAGUUAGCUUAUUUCCAAAAUUAAAAAUGGUUUGUGUAAAGGUUUUCUAGCCUCUUCAGUUGAUUUCCCAGUGGAAGUCUAUGAAAAGUGUCAGCUUCUGUCAAGAAAAUUAUGCUUUCUGAGGACUUUGAACUCUGCAGAGGAGAAUGGCAAAUAAAAAGCAUUACUUUUUUUUCAGUUUAAAAAAGGGGAUCCUGAUAACACUGUUAGUUUUCUGCAGCAUUUUCAGAUU